rnacentral:rRNA from 1 species
CCUACGGGUGGCAGCAGUGGGGAAUAUUGCUCAAUGGGGGAAACCCUGAAGCAGCAACGCCGCGUGGAGGAUGACGGUUUUCGGAUUGUAAACCCCUUUCGUUAGGGAAGAUAAUGACGGUAUCUAACGAAUAAGCCCCGGCUAACUACGUGCCAGCAGCCGCGGUAAUACGGAGGGUGCAAGCGUUAUUCGGAAUCACUGGGGGUAAAGGGCGCGUAGGCGGGAGAGCAAGUCAGAUGUGAAAUCCUAUGGCUUAACCAUAGAACUGCAUUUGAAACUGUUAUUCUAGAGUACGGGAGAGGUAGGUGGAAUUCGUGGUGUAGGGGUGAAAUCCGUAGAUAUCAAGAGGAAGACUCAUUGCGAAGGCGGCCUGCUGGAACGUAACUGACGCUGAUGCUCGAAAGCGUGGGGAGCAAACAGGAUUAGAUACCCUAGUAGUC